AGUGAACGCUGGCGGUAGGCCUAACACAUGCAAGUCGAACGGCAGCACAGUAAGAGCUUGCUCUUACGGGUGGCGAGUGGCGGACGGGAGAGGAAUACAUCGGACUCUACUCUUUCGUGGGGGAUAACGUAGGGAAACUUACGCUAAUACAGCAUAUGACCUACGGGUGAAAGCAGGGGAACUUCGGACCUUGCGCGAUUGAAUGAGCCGCUGUGGGAUUAGCUAGUUGGCGGGGUAAAUGCCCACCAAGGCGACGAUCCGUAGCUGGUCGGAGAGGAUGGUCGGCGACAUGGGAACGUAGACACGGUCCAGGCUACUACGAGAGGCAGCAGUGGGGAAUAGUGGACAAUGGGGGGGAGCCUGAUCCAGCCAUACCGCGUGGGUGAAGAAGGCCUUGGGGUUGUAAAGACCUUUUGUUGGGAAAGAAAAGCAGCAGGUUAAUACCCCGCUGUUCUGACGGUACCCAAAGAAUAAGCACCGGCUAACUUCGUG
rnacentral:rRNA from 1 species